rnacentral:lncRNA from 1 species
ACAUGCAUGAGCAAUGCAGAAAGACUGCAAUGGCCAAUGGCUUAAAAGAGAUAAUAAGGGCAAUAAAAGAACAAUGCAUAUAUGAGAAUGCUUGAGACACAAGAGGGUCUUUUUCUUCAUCUCAAGUUCCAUGAGCGAUUGUUGUGGAUUAUGCAUGAUAAGGUUGUCUCUUCAGCCAACGUCAGUCCUCAACUCACAUGCAUUAAUUCAUGUCUUCUUAUUUUUACUGGCUGGACAUGAAUUUCACUCUUGCAUGAGCAAGUAUUCAUGUGAAGCUUUUUUUUCUCCAUUUUUUUUUCUCAAAUUUUUCCUUUCUCCUCAUUUUACCCUGCUUCUCAUUGUUCCCAGUUGUGUUAUUGAGUGGUUCUAAUAUUUUCAUUUAUUUUUUUGCUUGAUAUACAUAAAAUACCUUCAUCUACCGAUUGUUGUGCAACCAAUGAAUCCUAAUAACAAGUAUUCAUCAUAUUAUUCAUAUUCUAUCAUCUGUCUGUUUUUUUUUUAUUGUUAUGGAGAACAAAAAACUACACUUUUCAACCUCAGAAUAAUUUCUCGCAAGAAGCUUUUUAACAGUGUCCCUGCAAGGCCUUAAUUCAAACAUUCAUUCUUCCUCAAGAGCAUCAUUCUUUUAUUUGUUCCAUUCUCUCACCAUAUUCCGAUGGCAGAAAAGACAGUAUUCCUAUUUUUCUCCCUUGUAAUCUCUCAAAGGCACGGGAAAGAAAAAAUAUGUACAUAUAGCUUAACAUUCUCAUAUUUCGGAUUGCUUUGAGAAUCCCAUUCAAAUGUUUCAUGCUGAAAGUUGAGUGGACGGGGGAAAAGGGAGUUGAAAAAUUACAUUCUCUUGGACUGAGAAUGCAAUAAUGUAUUAUAAUGCAAAAUACGAUUAAUCACCACAUUCUUUUGUGGGGAAAUUGCUGGGGUUUUCCCUAGCAAUAUUCAGCAAUAUUGUGGCAGAUUCUGGUUAUCAAAUCAACAUCUUAAUAUAGCUUUUUAAAUAUUAAUAGGUAUUUCUCAUGGUAGAAUAUUUAGCUAUGAUAUUUAUAAAACCUCCUUUCUAAAGAGUAAAAAAUAACCAAGGGACGUAAUUUUUUAGUUAAAGCCCCUGCAGCCCUUACAUCUUUUUUUCUUAAAAUUACCAUGUAAAAGGUCAGAAUUGAUGUUAUCAUUAAAUCCUCAAACUUUUGAUAGAUUAAGACUAAUAAAAUGCAGUGUUUAUUACAAAAAAUUGUGCAGAUUUGCAAUACAAAUUGAGUGAGAUGUGCAGUGAUGUAUUAGCAACCAUUUAAUUUGGUGUAAGAGCAUUCUGAGAGCACAGCUACAUAAUAUAUAGAGAAAUGAUAUAAUAACCAUAAACCUUUGAUUAUUAAUCUGACAGAAGUCAAAAUGGAUUUUUAAAAAUGAGAGAGAAAUAAAAUGGGAAAGGGUGAGAAAAAGAGUGCAUGAGAGAUAGAAUACAGGCCAAAUUAGAAUAAAUCAUUUAAAAGGGAUUAAAAAGCCCAUUAAAAAAAGAAUGAUGAAAUCACAUAAAUAUCAUUUAUGGUUCUUUCCCAUAUUCGUCAUUAUAUAAUUUAUAAACUGUUGGGCAUUUUCAAUCAAAAUUUCAAUUUUCCUUUUUUCCUUUUUUCUUAUGAUUGGCUGAGAAGAAUUAUUACUAUGGUGAUUGUCAAAUAAAACAGGACUUGACAGAUUAAAUGUGUGACAAUUCCUUCCACUAAACACUCCACAUAUCUAUAUAAUCAGUAUUGUAUAAAGAGAAAGAUUUUGUGGUUUUGAUGGUAUAAGGUGGAGGCUUCGAUGAUUACCAUACUUUAAUAAUCAUGAGAACCAUUACAGUGAAAUCCAAGUGAUUUGUUCUUAAGACUUUUAUACCCCUUUCAGUAACUCGCUGGCUCGGGCCAGGCCCAGGCUAUGUCGUAAAAUUUUGAGUUUAUGAAAAUAGCCCGCGCCAGGCCCGGGCUAUUUUGGUGCUGCUUUUAUCAGCACCAGGCCAGCGCCAGGCCCGCACCAGGCGCCGACCAAAGAGUUUAUGAACGAUAGCAGCACCAGGCCCUGGCCAAAGUUCCUCGCACGGUCAAAGGUCACACAAUUCUGGCCGUGCCUCCGCAUCGGCGGAUCGCGUUUACGAAUACAGAGCACUUCCGCUCUGUAUAUGGCGUGUUCAGUUACCAUGACAGUUUGCCCUUACGUGCCCGAGUUUUUGAAUGGGUGAUCGUAAAAGUGGCGCGGCUCUGCUAUAGUUACUGAAAGCAAUUUUUAUCGCUUGGUGCGGAUUAUUUUAGCGCGGGCCUGGUGCGGACCAAAAAAUCAUGAGUUGCUGAAAGGGGUAUCAGGUUACUCCUGCAUUAAUGGGAGAGGGGGGAGUUAAAAACCAAAAUUUAUCAGCACAUAAUAGAUUGCUGAACAUCAAUUAAUAAUUUGUUACCUUGCUUCUUCAAGAGAAGAGUAAAUGCAGCAGAACAACAUUUGCAAGUAUAAGUACUUCCCAGAUAUCAUAUGGGGGGGACAUCAAGAUGAAAGAGAUUUAUUUUGUUUGUGGCUUUCGUUUGUGACUCUUGCAUGUGCAAAACUGUGCACUUGCCUCAAUAAUAUACAUGUAAUUGUUUUUUGUUUGACUUCUGAAGUGCGCAGAUUCACAAUUUCUUGAGGUUAGGAUAAUCAUUUUCACAUUAUCUUCAUCUUAUCUUGCUCUCAUUUAAAAAGCCAUUUAUAUCACUUCACCUUUUUAGCAGCUGCUGCUGACAUUGUCAUAAUUGUAUCUCAGUAAUUAUUAUUUCCCAAUUUUAACACAAAAGCUGAAAAGGAACCAGAUGUCCUUUUGCUUAUAAUUUUGGAAUAAUUGCACUAUAAAAAAGAGCAUAAUUCUAAGAAAUCCCAGUUUAAACUGCAGAUUAUUCUACUUUAAGUAUACUCGAAUCCAAAGUAUUUUUUUUCUUCAGGCUUUCUCUUUCAUAUUGUGCAUUUCCAUGUGUAAAGGUUGGUUUGAUGACAAAUUGAAUGAUUUCAUAUUCACAAUGAUAUACAUGUAGUUCAGACACUUCAUCUGUGAACUAUUACCCGAAAAAUUCAUUUCUAAAGCCAAUCUAUCAAAAACAAGUUAUUUAAUUAAAACAAAAAAAUCAACUUUCGAUCAAGACUUCUUUGAAUACUUUGAAUUACAAUGUUCCAGCACAGAAAAUUUCUUCACCCAUAAUGACUUACGACAGAAAAUCAAACAUUACAUCCUUUACUCUGCACUUAUUGCAAUUCAAGAGACAGAAUCAACUGUUUAAUAUCAUAUAACACUGGAGCUGCCUUUCAAAAAGGCAGACAGAACAAAUAAGCAAGGAACAACACUAACAUCAUCAUGUGACACUCAGUUUCUCUUGCUCUCUCUCUCCUCAUACUCACCCUCAUCAUCCCUCAUCUGUCAAUCUCACUUUCUCUCUCUCCCUCCAUCAGCCACACUUUCUCUCUGCAUCUAUACCCUUUUCUCUAGAACUACUACCUACUCUCAUUUUUUUUUAUCAAAUCCACCUUUGCCAUCCUUAUUAUAACUUAUUGUAUAAAAUCCAUCCAAAAUUUGGGGUAAUUACUUUACUUUGUUCCUGUAUUUUGUGAAUCUCUUCAAACUGAUGGUGCAAAAUGUGUGGAUGAUAUAAAAAAAAAAAUUCUGAUUAAAAAAAAAAAACAACAGAAUGGAACUAUUUACGUUUUCUUUUUGGUAUGAAAUCACUUCUAAAGCAUGUAAUGGAUGGGGAAAUUGUUGAAAUAAUCAUUGUUUGUAGUUUACCACUAUAUUCAAUUACUUAAUUUGUAAGAGAAGUGUUCAAAUGUUUUCUCUCUCCUUCCGGUUGCCAUCAUGCUUCUCACGAAGCCAUGCAUCUAAUUGCCAAGGUGGUACACAUGUCAGAAUUAUGAACAUCACAUGUCCUACAAACAGAAGAACAUGAUAAACUCUCCUAAACAGGGUCCAUGACACAAGUCACCUCAAUUAAAGAUUGUAUUUCCUAUGGGAUGCAUGCAUGUUAUUUAUUAUGACAGAUUCUAUACACCUAUUUACAUACUUACUUGCUUAUUCAUAAAUCACUAUUCACUCUCUCACAUACUGCUGCAUCAUCAAAACUACAAUACACGAACUGCAAACCUUCCGCCUUGGUAGAAAGAACCAUGUCCUUAUUGUAAUCAGCAUUGUCUCUGUUAUGUUGGCAUUUCCAUUUGUCGUGUAAACACCUACUCAGUCAUGUAAAGGUCAAGAUUAUACACCAUGAUAAAGAUAUAUUAACAGCCGUCACUAGUUUUACUUCUCAUUCAAUUUUGUUAUCAUCAAUCAUAAAUGUCAUGAAUUUAUUUCUUAGAAAUAAAUCAUCACAAAUUAGGAAUUCAAGCAGAGUGCAUUAUCAUCUUUAUCAUGAUAUAGUUUUGUUGACUGUUUUUCUUCAUUUCAACAGAUAAUUCUGAAAUGUUAAAGAGACAGGUGACAUACACAUAUGUAGCUUAAACCAAACCCUAAUUCCAACCCUUUGUAUUAGUAUCUUUGUAAUCAUAAUAAAUUCCCUUGUUAUGAACAAAUGUAAGAUUUAAAAAGGGAAAAUAUUUCGGCCACUUCAUCAAAGAUAAUAAGAUCCAUAUGCAAAGAUAUUUUGCAUAAUCAAUGGUAAUUCAUGAAUACUUUCACGACUUGAUUUUUGGAAACAUUUAAAAAAUAAAAAUAUCAUGUUCCUCGAAAUUAAAUGAGCAAGAGCUAUCACUUUUGAAUAAAAAUAUGCUGCAUACUAUUCAUAUUAAAAUGAGAAUGAAAAUUACAAUAUCUGCAUAAUGGCAACAAUAAUCUUCAUAAGAUAUGAACAUAAUUUCCUGGAAAGUUCUAACUUGCAAAAACUUCAUCUUUUCAAAUGUAUCCAUCAUGAACUAUGUCACAGGAUCUAUGUCUAUCAUACAUAGGGUAAAAAAAUUAACUCUUCAAAUUGGCAAGAAAAAUCCACAUAGGAUAUAACUUUUUUUAAUUAGAAAGUUAUAUGUGAGAGUCAUCAACUAUUAUCUCUACAAGAACAUUUGACAAUGUUACUAUGCAAAUUGGGUAUGGCAUAAUGUUUGAAAUUCAAGUGCAAGAGCUUUUCAUUAUCAACUGCACCCAUGUAUGCCACAGAAUUAAUUCUUGGCUACACCGAUCUUCAUGAGAUAUGAACAUUAUUUUCAUGGAAAGUCAAAUGUGCGAGAGUGGUUACCCUGGCGAUGGUAUUCCUCUUGGGAUAUGCCACAGCGACUGUGCAGGUGCGUCCAACUACCAGCUUAUUCCACAGUUUAAGUUAGUGAUUGAUCUCUCUUUCAUCUAACUAUUUAUCACAACUCUAAUACAUCAAAUGGUGCAUAUGAUUAUAACAUGUGAUAGGGACAUGGCGAUUUGCUGAAGAAUGAUCAUCUUAGUUAACAUCAUCUCUUUUAUUUACACUGUAGGUACCUUAUAAAUGCAGAACUGUUUACUCUUAUAGAUAGAAAUUGACAGGUGAUGAUGUCUAACUUUCAUAUCAAACAAUAAUUGAAUAAUUGAAAGCUCUUUACCCCCUUCAUGUUUAGGUCUACUCAUGUAAGAAUAAACUCACCCUUAAUCAUUGAAUAAAUGCUAAGAUAUCCCACAAACCAAAUGACAUGAUAAGGCCUCUUUGUAUAGCAGACUGAAGUAUGGCGGAGUUUUUUUUUUUUGCUGCCAAACCCUGUUAAGUUCCUAAUAUUUCCUACAUGUAUAAACCCCAAUGCCAAUUAUAGGUCCUGCUUGACUUCAAGAUAUUUUCUUAACUGCCAUUGAUGAUGGUAUAUUGCAGAUGGAUGCUACUGUCAGGGGCAUUCCUUUGAUCUAUAAUUGGGCAUCCAUUAGUAAAGAUGGAAUUAAUCAUCAGAUCGUGCCUGCACACAGAUCUUAGGCUUUCCUAAUAUGAUCUACAGGUUAACAAAAGCGCAUCUUGACUGGGACUAGUUGUUUACCAUAACCCAAAUAUAUUGGUAGAUCCUUGGCAUGGUGGCUCAAUGGAAGAGCACCCACCUCAUGAACAGGAGGUCAUUGGUUUGAUCCCCGGCCUAGUCAUACCAAAGACUUAUAAAAAUGGGACCUUCUGCCUUCCUGCUAGGCGCUCAGCAAUCAGAUUACAUUGAUCAGAAAGCGUUGUUCAUAAUCCCAAUGCAGCUUCAAUCAAAAUCCAGCCAAAUUGCUCAAAAUGGGAUAACCAUCCUUUCAGGAAAAAUAACCCAAACGACAUGUUUCUUGUUCCUGUCUCAUGCAAUAAACAAAUAAGGAAACCCCAUGCAGGAAUUUCUCCUGAGUGGCUAGAGUAAUUGAAGUAGAUUUGAAAGAUGGGUGGUGACAGCCCCAAGUUUGCAAUUGGCAGAGAAAAUAAACUCCAAAUUGUAUCGGAACAGAGAUCAAUGGCCGUUCAAAGGCAAAGUGAAAUCUGGUGAUGGAUAAUCAGUGUCGCGGCUGCAGCCAAGAUUACUUAUCUCCUGUUUAUAAAAUGCAUCCCGGCCCUGGUUAUGGGGUAAAAGGCAGCACAUUUGCCGGGGGCGAUAUGACAUGAUGAGAAGAGUUAAUCCUUGAACAAACCUCCUCAACGUUUCGUGGCCAUCAUUAUCAGGUACCUUUUAAAAUCCUUGACCCAGUUAAACUGGCAGCAUGGGCAACGUGGUAGCAGAUCUGCUGUAUCAGGAUGCACACGAUUGACUCCUUAGUCCUAUGCUUCAGUGCAUCCUAAUCAUUUAAUUUUAUCAAUCACUGCUCAACACUUUAAUAUCUACAUCUAUCCUUGAUUGCAAAGGAUAAAAACUGAAAUCAUAAGAGUAUUUUAUUUGUAAGAGGAUUGUGUGUUUGGUUCUUUCCUUGAAUGAAGUACAUAAAAAUUUGUGAAUACCUGUGAAAGAGACAUCUAAAGAUGAUGCAGAAAAUUUAUAAUAUUACAAGUUCAUACGAGUUUUAUAUUUUUGUAGGACAGUGAGUCUUAAAGAAUCAAUCUUCUGUAAUUGCUAAUUCCAGAAAGUCAAAAUUAAAGUUGCUUUUCACCAUAAAGACAUGAUCACAAAUCACCUAUUUCAUAAAUAUUCCCUUCCCACAUUUGAUAUCAAGGUGAUAUAAAUUAUUUUCGUAUAGAAUAUUACUUGUUGCCCAUGGUAGACCUUUUUAAACAAUUCCUAAUUCCUGUAUAGAUAUUUAGUUGACAAGUCAUCUUGUUGAGAAUAACCAUAACAAAGACACUGGGAUAUCAUGCAGAUGAAAAGUUAGCAGGCAAGAUAUAUGGCUGCUAAUUGGAGAUGCAACCAAUAAGCAAAUCCAAAAUCUAAAAUGAAUGCGUGUGGGGCCGCCGUAAUCUAGUGGUUAAGACUGUUGUCUUUCAAUCUGAGAGACAUGGGUUCAAUUCCAAGCCAUGGUGUGUUUCCCUUCAGCAAGAAAUUUACCCACAUUGUGCUGCUCUCAACCCAGGAGAGGUAAAUGGGUACUGGAAGGAAGCAAUUCCUAAAAAACUGUGAGCACCGGAAUCGGUAAACUAGCAUAGCUGGGAGCAUCAAACAAGAUGGAUAUGUGCACUAUACAAAUCCUAAAUUAUUACUAUAUUUUUAUUUAUUAUCGAAGAACGAUUGAUUCUUGGAGUAAGCAUUUAAUACCUAUUACUGACAUUUUUAUGUAUAUCACGUAGCAUGAUUAUCUUUUUAAAAAGACCUAGUACAUUGAAUUAUACAGCAGUUCUCAGAAAUGGAGCAGUGCAUAAGAAGAACCUGUAAAUAUCAAUUAACAUAAUGAUAAUCAUGAUCAUUAUUGUAUAUUUUUGUACAGCUCAUACAUGUACUACAUGACUGCCAAUUUACUAAUUACAUACAAUGAUCAAAUUCAUGUACAUGCAGCGGAGAGCACAUGCUCUUUAAAAGCUCUCAAGUGUAUUUAAAUGAAUGGUUGGUGAUGCAAAAUAUCAUUUCAUUAUCAUCAUGCAGGGGUUUGAGUUUCAAAGGAGUGUCGGGGGCUACAUUUUUGGGGACAAAUACUUAGAAAUGUUAAAACAGGAUAUUCUGAUGGCAACACAGGCAGUUUUAUAGAAAUCAUUAAAGGAAUACUUAGCCUACUGUCUAAGUUUUUUUGAAGUGUUUAUUGCUAUAUCACAUGAAUGCCUGGUCCUAGGACUGCUACGCUACUGAUGAAUAUAAUGUAGGCAUGUUCCAAUGAUUGUAAUUUGUAAUUUUACAUGAAAAUCUAUCUGAGUCAGGAUCCCCCAAAUAAAAACUCCAUAUUUUUUCUUUAUUCUAUAAAAAUAUUUCUUUAGCAUGGAAUGGGCUGAAUUUGUUUUUCUUUGCAAAAUUAAUAACAGGCAAUCACAUUUUCGAUAAUAGAAAAUUUUCACCAAGAAUGGGCACUAGUUAACUUCAAAUUAUGCAGAAUUCAAAUUUUCACAAAGAAUCAACAGAUGGAAUAACAAAAAAAAAUUACUUAAUCUGUGUAUGAUUAACAUGUUGCAAUAUCAUUCAAUAGCUUUACCACAGCUAAAACAUAAUUUGAAUAAGUUUACUGUUCCAACCUGCACUUUGGCAAUUCUACCCUUCAUAAAACUUUUGAUGAGAGUAUUCAACCUUUAUAGACUGUACAGGAGUACACAUCUGUAAGAAUUUUGAAGUAUGGAUGUUUUUACAUCCUUGAUUAUCUUUUUAUGAAUUUUACAGUGACCAGGGUAAGGCCAUAUGUCAGACCUCAUUUUCAAAGUGAAAGACUUAAUGCAGUGUAGCCCUUCAUAGAUCAAUUAGUUUGAUCAAUUGAAGUUUCUUAGAUUAAAUGUAAGUAUUAAAGGUCCAAUCCCAAAAAUAUAUAUUUCCAAAUGUCAGGUUUACAAGCCGUAAACAAUGUUUCCCCGGCAAUGGAAACACCUCAUAAUGAUGAUAUUAAUGCUUUACACAUCACCCAUAAUUGGAUGGACAGAGCAGACUGUUUCUUCUGAAGCAUCAUGCCCUCUCCUGGGCUUUACCCAUAAAUAACAAAUUUGCAGAACGGGACCCGCGGGACCGUUGCAGGAGAUGGCCCAUGAAUAGGCGAUGAGCCACCUGCCUCUCACCACAACACUACAUUCAAUUUGGGCUUCUCACCGCGACCAAUCACAGGUACAAGGAACUCACUUAAAGGAAUCGGCAGUCACGAAUUAUCAAUUUGCAUGGCAGAGUUUGAUCGAUCAUUGUCUGAGCUUUUUGCUACUAACAUUAGAAAAUGAUCUCAGCUUGAGAAUAUCAAAUGGCACUGGUCUGACUCAUGAUGGUUUAACUCAUGCUCAGCAUAAACUGUGAUAGCCAUUUCUCUUUCAUACUAAAAAAUUACAUCUUAGACAAGCAUUGGAAUAUGAAAUAUGAAAUGAAGAAAUUUCAGUCAAUAUAUCAAUAUAAUCAAUUAGGAAAUAACAAACAUAGCUGAUAUUUUUUUUAAAUCCCAUAUUCUCUAUCAUAAUCACGGCUAAAGUGUACAGAAAGAGACAAAGGGAACAUCCAGUGCUGCUGCGCAUAUCUUUUAACUUUAUCUUCUAAUUGCCCGGAGCAGUAUCCUGCAAAUGGAUUUAAUAUUUCAAAAGGCACUGGUAAUAUCCAUCUUGCUUGAUGUGAAAUGGAAUUUGGAGCAAUGUACUGUCUCUACUCAAGUAUGCUGAUAUGAUGUAUUGAAUUAACGUUGCUCUUCAUGACACAAGCUGAUUUUCCUUUUCAAGCUAAAUAAUGUUUCGCUUACAUGUAAUCUUUAUCUUCCAUGAUUUUCCAUCAUCCAAGAUUACCAUUUGCUUUUGAAGGAGCAAGUUCUUUCAAGCGGAGGGUCUUGGGCUUUCAUUACAACCAUCUACAUUGUGCUGCACUUAACCCAUGGGAGGUAAAUGGAUACCUGUCAGAAUUAAUUCUUUGAAUGAGCUGAAGCGU